rnacentral:rRNA from 1 species
AACGAACGCUGGCGGCAGGCCUAACACAUGCAAGUCGAGCGAGGACUUCGGUCCUAGCGGCGGACGGGUGAGUAACGCGUGGGAACGUGCCCUUUGCUUCGGAAUAGCCCUGGGAAACUGGGAGUAAUACCGGAUGAGCCCUUUGGGGGAAAGAUUUAUCGGCGAAGGAUCGGCCCGCGUUGGAUUAGGUAGUUGGUGGGGUAAUGGCCUACCAAGCCGACGAUCAUAGCUGGUUUGAGAGGAUGAUCAGCCACACUGGGACUGAGACACGGCCCAGACUCCUACGGGAGGCAGCAGUGGGGAAUCUUAGACAAUGGGGGAAACCCUGAUCUAGCCAUGCCGCGUGAGCGAUGAAGGCCUUAGGGUUGUAAAGCUCUCUCAGCUGGGAAGAUAAUGACGGUACCAGCAGAAGAAGCCCCGGCUAACUCCGUG